UACGUAGGGGGCUAGCGUUGUCCGGAAUCAUUGGGCGUAAAGCGCGUGUAGGCGGUCCGGUAAGUCCGCUGUGAAAGUCGGGGGGCUCAACCCUCGGAUGCCGGUGGAUACUGUCGGGCUUGAGUACGGAAGAGGCGAGUGGAAUUCCUGGUGUAGCGGUGAAAUGGCGCAGAUAUCAGGAGGAACACCAAUGCGAAGGCAGCUCGCUGGGACGUUACUGACGCUGAGACGCGAAAGCGUGGGGAGCAAACAGG
rnacentral:rRNA from 1 species